GGUUUGAUAGCCAGAGAUUGGGGGUCGUGUUUCGGCCGCGAUUGUGGGUUGGUGUAAUCC
rnacentral:tRNA from 1 species